GGGACACGUGGUAUCCUGUCUGAAUAUGGGGGGACCAUCCUCCAAGGCUAAAUACUCCUGACUGACCGAUAGUGAACCAGUACCGUGAGGGAAAGGCGAAAAGAACCCCGGCGAGGGGAGUGAAAAAGAACCUGAAACCGUGUACGUACAAGCAGUGGGAGCACCUUCGUGGUGUGACUGCGUACCUUUUGUAUAAUGGGUCAGCGACUUAUAUUCUGUAGCAAGGUUAACCGUAUAGGGGAGCCGAAGGGAAACCGAGUCUUAACUGGGCGUUAAGUUGCAGGGUAUAGACCCGAAACCCGGUGAUCUAGCCAUGGGCAGGUUGAAGGUUGGGUAACACUAACUGGAGGACCGAACCGACUAAUGUUGAAAAAUUAGCGGAUGACUUGUGGCUGGGGGUGAAAGGCCAAUCAAACCGGGAGAUAGCUGGUUCUCCCCGAAAGCUAUUUAGGUAGCGCCUCGUGAACUCAUCUUCGGGGGUAGAGCACUGUUUCGGCUAGGGGGCCAUCCCGGCUUACCAACCCGAUGCAAACUACGAAUACCGAAGAAUGUUAUCACGGGAGACACACGGCGGGUGCUAACGUCCGUCGUGAAGAGGGAAACAACCCAGACCGCCAGCUAAGGUCCCAAAGUCAUGGUUAAGUGGGAAACGAUGUGGGAAGGCACAGACAGCCAGGAUGUUGGCUUAGAAGCAGCCAUCAUUUAAAGAAAGCGUAAUAGCUCACUGGUCGAGUCGGCCUGCGCGGAAGAUGUAACGGGGCUAAACCAUGCACCGAAGCUGCGGCAGCGACGCUUAGGCGUUGUUGGGUAGGGGAGCGU
rnacentral:rRNA from 1 species